rnacentral:rRNA from 1 species
UACAGAGGGUGCGAGCGUUGUCCGGAAUCACUGGGCGUAAAGGGCGCGUAGGCGGCGCGGUAAGCGUGCGGUGAAAGCCCGGGGCUCAACCCCGGGUCGGCCGUGCGGACUGCCGGGCUGGAGCACUGUAGAGGCAGGUGGAAUUCCGGGUGUAGCGGUGGAAUGCGCAGAUAUCAGGAGGAACACCGGUGGCGAAGGCGGGUCUCUGGGCCGAUACUGACGCUGAGGAGCGAAAGCGUGGGGAGCGAACAGG